GGAAACCGGGGCUAAUACCGGAUGCUUGAUUGAACCGCAUGGUUCAAUCAUAAAAGGUGGCUUUUAGCUACCACUUACAGAUGGACCCGCGGCGCAUUAGCUAGUUGGUGAGGUAACGGCUCACCAAGGCGACGAUGCGUAGCCGACCUGAGAGGGUGAUCGGCCACACUGGGACUGAGACACGGCCCAGACUCCUACGGGAGGCAGCAGUAGGGAAUCUUCCGCAAUGGACGAAAGUCUGACGGAGCAACGCCGCGUGAGUGAUGAAGGUUUUCGGAUCGUAAAACUCUGUUGUUAGGGAAGAACAAGUACCGUUCGAAUAGGGCGGUACCUUGACGGUACCUAACCAGAAAGCCACGGCUAACUACGUGCCAGCAGCCGCGGUAAUACGUAGGUGGCAAGCGUUGUCCGGAAUUAUUGGGCGUAAAGCGCGCGCAGGCGGUUUCUUAAGUCUGAUGUGAAAGCCCCCGGCUCAACCGGGGAGGGUCAUUGGAAACUGGGGAACUUGAGUGCAGAAGAGGAGAGUGGAAUUCCACGUGUAGCGGUGAAAUGCGUAGAGAUGUGGAGGAACACCAGUGGCGAAGGCGACUCUCUGGUCUGUAACUGACGCUGAGGCGCGAAAGCGUGGGGAGCGAACAGGAUUAGAUACCCUGGUAGUCCACGCCGUAAACGAUG
rnacentral:rRNA from 1 species